CCUCGGUUUCUUUUCUUUCUUUCUUUCUUUUUUUUUUUGAGACGGAGUCUCGCUCUGUUGCCCAGGCUGGAGUGCAAUGGCGUGAUCUUGGCUCACUGCAACCUCUACCUCCCGGGUUCACGCGAUUCUCCUGCUUGAUUACAGGUGCGUGCCACCACGCCCAGCUAAUUUUUGUAUUUUUAGUAGAGACGGGGUUUCACCAUGUUGGUCAGGCUGGUCUCGAACUCCUGACCUCGUAAUCCAUCUGCCUCGGCCUCCCAAAGUGCUGGGAUUACAGAUGUGAGCCACCGCGCCCAGCCGAGCCUCAGUUUCUGAUUUUAAAAAUCCCCCAAACCCGGGAGCCGUCCACCAGCAGAGGUUGUACAGCUAUUUAUCACGAAUGUGUGUGUAUUUCAUACAGGAAGUGAAAUGUAUUAAAUACACAGGGCUGAAACUUGCAGUCUGAGAGGCAGGAACCUUCUGAUCCCACCGGAAAUUUCUCUCCACUCAUCCCCAGACUCUCUCAGUGGAAACCAUCCUCCUGAAGCAUGUGUGCACGCACAACACACAUGCACUCUCACACACACUCUUCACAGCCACCCCACUCCCUCACGCAUGUACACACAUUCACACCCACCCCACUCACAUACAAACUCUCACACAUACACAUGCAAACACUUGGAUACACACACCCAUGCCUAUUCUCACACACACACUCAUACACCUAUACACACAUGCACACACUCGACACACACCCUCAUGCCUAUUCACACACACCUAUACACACACACUUGACACACACCCAUGCCUAUUCUCACACACACUCACAUACCUAUACACACAUGCACACACUCGACACACCCAUGCCUAUUCUCUCACACACACUCUCGACACACCCAUGCCUAUUCUCACACACACACCUAUACACACACAUGCACACACUCAACACACCCAUGCCUAUUCUCACUCACACACCUAUAUACACACAUGCACACUCAACACACCCAUGCCUAUUCUCACACACACAUGCACACAUGACACACACACCCAUGCCUAUUCUCACACACACCUAUACACACAUGCACACACUCGACACACACACCCAUGCCUAAUUCUCACACACACCCCUAUACACACACAUGCACAUACUCAACACACACACCCAUGCCUAUUCGCUCACACACCUAUACACACACAUGCACAUGACACACACCCAUGCCUAUUCUCACACACACACACCUAUACACACACAUGCACAUACUCGACACACAGCCAUGCCUAUUCUCUCACACACACGCUCACACACCUAUACACACAUGCACACACUCAACACACACGUGCUCAUCCAUAGUCACACGUUUACACAUAUGCACACAUUCGGAUACACGCACACCCGGUACCUUCACACACACAUGCACACACUCAAUACACACAUACCCAUGCACAUUCACACAUACACAUGGACACACUCAGAUACACACACACCUAUAUACCUUCACACACACAUGCACACACUCGAUAUACACAUGCUUAUGCAUAUUUGUGCGUGCACACACUCAUAUACACACACACCCAGUACCUUCACACACACGCACACAAUACACACAUACUCGUGCACAUCCACACACUUGAUACACAAUUUGCACACACAUCCAUGCACACACUUGAUACAUAAACACCCACACACAUUCACACAUUUUCACACAUGCACACACUUGAUACACACCCAUGCACAUUCACACACAGUUGAUACAUGCACACACACAAUUCACACACAUACACACACUUGAUACACCCCAAUUCACACAGACAUGCACACACUUGAUACACACACUUUCACACAUCCCCACACACAUGCACACACUUGAUACACACCCAUGCACAUUCACACACAGUUGAUACAUGCACACACACAAUUCACACACAUACACACACUUGAUACACCCCAAUUCACACAGACAUACACACACUUGAUACACCCCAAUUCACACAGACAUGCACACACUUGAUACACACACUUUCACACAUCCCCACACACAUGCACACACUUGAUACACACAUUCACAUUCUCAGACAUGCACACACAUGCACACACUUGAUACACACACUCACACAUUCUCACAGACAUGCACACACAUGCACGCACUUGAUACACACAUUCAC
rnacentral:lncRNA from 1 species